rnacentral:lncRNA from 1 species
UUUGUUUGAUCUUUGUUGACUUCUGUUGGUCUUGGAUCAUGGUUGUUUUAAUCUUAGGUAUCAUCAAACUCAAUGUAUCUUUGGUGUUGAUAGGGUGAAAACCCUAACCCUAAUCCACCAAAAUGGAUGAUUGAUUUUGAAGAUAACUUGAUCAAGCCUCUGAUCCAAUUUGGAUUUUGGUUUCUCUUCUUCUUCUUCU